rnacentral:rRNA from 1 species
CAGGGGCGUAGCAAUACGCUCGCUGGCGACCGGCAAACGGGUGCGGAACACGUACACAACCUUCCUUUAAGUGGGGGAUAGCCCGGGGAAACCCGGAUUAAUACCCCGUAACAUAGUGAAGUGGCAUCACUUUACUAUUAAAGCUCCGGCGCUUAAUGAUGGGUGUGCGGCUGAUUAGGCAGAUGGCGGGGUAACGGCCCACCAAACCUACGAUCAGUAACUGGUGUGAGAGCACGACCAGUCACACGGGCACUGAGACACGGGCCCGACUCCUACGGGAGGCAGCAGUAAGGAAUAUUGGUCAAUGGACGCAAGUCUGAACCAGCCAUGCCGCGUGGAGGAUGAAGGUCCUCUGGAUUGUAAACUUCUUUUAUCUGGGAAGAAAUCCAUCUUUUCUUGGAUGGUUGACGGUACCAGAUGAAUAAGCACCGGCUAACUCCGUGCCAGCAGCCGCGGUAAUACGGAGGGUGCAAGCGUUAUCCGGAUUCACUGGGUUUAAAGGGUGCGUAGGUGGAUUAGUAAGUCAGUGGUGAAAUCUCUGGGCUUAACUCAGAAACUGCCAUUGAUACUAUUAAUCUUGAAUACCGUGGAGGUCAGCGGAAUAUGUCAUGUAGCGGUGAAAUGCUUAGAUAUGACAUAGAACACCAAUUGCGAAGGCAGCUGGCUACACGAAUAUUGACACUGAGGCACGAAAGCGUGGGGAUCAAACAGGAUUAGAUACCCUGGUAGUCCACGCCCUAAACGAUGGAUACUCGACAUUUGCGAUACACUGCAAGUGUCUG